UCAGGAUGUCGCGACUGGCGUUGAGGUGGAGGUCCACCGGGGAGCGACGACACCUGUGACAUCGGGACCGUUCGCCUGGGCCCCACGU
rnacentral:ncRNA from 2 species